ACACACACACACUGAAUUCACUAUCCGUACAGGUUACACCCUAAAAAAUGCUGGGUUAUUUCAUCUACCCAACCGCUGGGUUAUGAAAUGUUUUACCCAUUAUGGGUUAUUUAUAUGGAAGUUGGGUUAUUUUGUGCAACUCAUGCGUUGAGUCAAAAUCCAUCAACCCAACAUACAUCGCUUGACCCAGCACUUGGGUUGUUUGUGCUUCGAACGUCAUCAGAUCAUCACCAGAGUCCACACACCGAGCGCUUGUCACAGCAGAGAACCAGUCUGGUCAUCCAACGAGGCAAAUAAAUAAUAAAAGAUCAAUGGAUAGCUUUGUCAUUAACACUUUGACAGAGUGCCAGACCUUGUCGAAAGAUUUAAAAGCUUCCAUGUAAUAUGUCAAAGUGACUCCAAUAGAUGAAUAGAGCCGGCCACUGGAUUCCUGGAGGAAAGGCUGCGGAACGUCAGGAAGUGGCUGAGAUCAACCAGCAGGUCGCAGGGCACGGCACAGACACCACCACAAACGCCAGAUGAUGGCGCUCUAGCAAGGGCUCUCAUACCAGGUAAUUAUUAAACUGAAAAAUUAUUUGAUGAAGCGAAUGACAACUUUCUUGUUCUUUUUUACAGAAUGUACCAUAUCAGACGAACGUGGGUCACAGCUUAAAGAAUGGUUGAGAAAUAAUUCUCAGCCCCUCAGCCAGAUAGAGAACUACAUGCGGAACACAGCAGUCUACAGGGCCAAGUGGAUUAGGGACAACAAUUGGACCAUCGAUCAGAUCCUCGAAGAGUUCCCUCACCUAAUGACCAAAGGCAUGAUUGCACAGGCUUGUCCUGCAUGGGGAUGCUGCAUCAAAGUUGUUUGAAACUUGGUCACGUGAAAUGCCAGGAGGGGAGUCUAAAAUGAGCUUACCACUGGGCAUGGGCAGGAGGUGGGCAGCCUCAUCUGUCCAAUUGCUCCAUGGAGCCAUGGCAACAUUUAGGACAGCAGACAGCUUACCACAGGGCAUUGGUGGAGGAUUGUGGUCCGCCUCAUUUGGCCUGUCCUGGCCUGCUCCAAGCUGAGCCAUUGCUAAAAAAAAGAAAGCUUUGGACUGGUGGUGGUGGUGAAGUUGGUGCUGGUGGCUGAGCCCUUGCAGCCUUCUUGAUUUUGGGUUUAGGUGGAGGAGGCGCUGUGUCCGACAUGUCUUUGGACGAAGAGUACAGAGGGUUUUUCCUGCAACAAAAAUGAUUUAAAAUAGGACUGACAUGGUGCCGGACCCAGCCUUUGUCUGGCUGUGGAGGCUGCAUUUUCCUCACGCUUCUCAGAAGCCUUGCCCUGUCGGUGAAGGGAGGCCACCAGGCUUGGCCAUCCUCCAUCCAGUUCUUGGCAAUGGGAGCCGUCUCUUUACGCUCCGAAAAAUUCAACAAUGAGGCCAUCUAACAAGUGGAUGCCAAAUGUGGUGGAGGAAAACGGGUACUCAAAGAAAGAAUCCUGAUGCAUAAAGCUCCCUUUACUGUGUGGCACUCGGAAACAAUGGCGGAAGGGGACCUGCAGUGUGUGGCUUUCUGAGCCCAAAGACUUCCUCAUGUGAACAUCAUUUCGGCCCCUCAGAAGGUCUCUUCACGAUUUGAGCUAAUGGACAUGUGGGCUUCCUAACAAGUUUUUUGAUCUUGUAUAAUGCAUUUUCAUACCUGAAAGCACUAAAUCUGUCCAGAACACCGUGAUUUCUGACAUCCUGUGCCAGAUGCACAAGAUUGUGCACAUUGUAGGAAAGAUACUUGGCACCUUGGUAAAGCUCUCCAAAGUGCUUGACAGAGAGAAUAAGUACAUAAUUUGCAUAGUCCAAGUAGUCAUCAACCAGGGCUUUGCUGGACAAAAUGUGGAUACCAACGAAAAGCAACAGAAAGUUGUGGUAUACAGCAGAGCUUACAAUGUCUUUCAGAAUCACUGGACCAGUAUACAGUAAAAACUGUCUAAACUCUGUUGCCUUCCAUCGAUCAAUCUCUGUCACUGUCUUAGGUCUGCGGUCAAACUCAAUGGGAACCAUAUGACGAGCUUCCACAAGCCUCUGUGAGAGUUUGUUUACUAGAAAUGCAGGCAGCCUACACAUAAGGGGACCCUUGAUCCACAGGAGAAGAAGGCGGCGCAUGACACCCAGGCAAACAAGAUGCAUGUAGUCAAGGGGAAAACCAGAAACCAUCCCAAGUGACGUGUUUUCAAGAGGGGAAGACCCUAGGUGAUGGUACUCAUCUUUUCUGUCACAGAAGUCUUGAUUUGUCCUAAUAGGCAUGUCUGUCCUUGGAAAAGUGACCCGGUUUUCCACAUACAGACCAUCCUCUGUGCACUUCUCACACCCGUGAUAUCCUGAGUGACCUUUGACACGUUUCACAAAAGCCCGGGCAGGAGCAUCCCACACCAUUGCUGCCAGCUUGAACGUGAGUGUGAUCCCAUCAAACUCAAAACCUUUCUCAAGUUCAUUGAUCUCUGCAACAAAAUCCUCCAUGAACUCAUCAAGAUUGUUAGGUUUUUUUGCACCACAGAAAAGACCAAUUACAACAGGGUCAUGUUGUGGAAGAUUAUGAAUAACACCAAGAAUGGGCCAGAACUGUGUGGAUAGCGGCAGCCCAUCAAUGUUAACCUGAAGAGACAAAUGAUUAAGAGAACUGUCCUCUAACUGGCACUUGUGUUUCUUUAACACCACUGAAAGUGACUCCAGGAUACCAAAAUGGUGGUACUGGCCACCAGCUUUCUCCUGGACAAGAAUGUUGCUGGACCGGAGUGUACCAAGCAGUGUUCUGGCGUCACUUGGUAACAGUGGAUGGUGCUGUCCAAGUGUUCGAAGCAAUGAAUUCAGUGCAUUGUGAGUGAUGUUAUGCUGCCCAUGCAGCCAAAUUUUCCUGCAAAGUACCUUCUUCUGUGUCUGGUUCUGUGUCAGUUUCAUAUGCAUCAAAGAACUCUUCCAUCUCAUCGCCAGGUGUUUGGCACUCCAUGUCAUAAAAGUCGCUCGCUUCUUCAUAUGCCUCCUCAGCGUCACAAAGGUCUGUCACACAAUUCCCCUCAGCAACUUGACUUAACUGCGCUUCAACCCUUGCUCUAGACCUCCGUCUCAGUGUCCAGUACGACUGUGUAUUGCUAGCCAUACUUGUGGAUAUUCUACUGUGUUUCAACUAAUAAUACUAACUAAACUACUAAUUAGCUAAACAAUUUUUUUUAUUAAUUUGUAGUUAUUGCAAUGUACAUUUGUAAAUACCUGUUAACUUACUAUACUUACCCACUUACGCAAAAGGUAAAUGUAUACACUCUAAAAAAGUAACACAUUUUCUGUGUCACCAACAAGAGUUGUCUUGGGGUCUCGUCAGCUGCACUGCUUCACCUGGAUGAUCUGGAAAUGGGACAUCAUCAGUUACAACAUCUUAUCUGCCUCUUAAAAGUUGAUUGAACUCUGAGAUGUUUUUUUUUGCAUGAUGUCAGAGUCAUAUUGUAUAAAGUUGUGUGUAUAUAUACAUACUAACUAGCUAAACUCUUAUUUUUAAUUACCCAUUAGCAAUUAUGCAUUAUUAAUAAUAUAUUAUACACAUAUUAAAUGCAUGUUUUUAUUUCUUGUAUACUUCGAAGCCAAGGCUCAGAGAUAUAAGAUAAGCAUUUGAUAUUUUUGUGCAUUAUUUCCACUACUGUACACAAAAACAAUUAUUACAACAAUCUAUUUAAGUGUUACCAUGUCCACUAGCUAUACAUUCUAAGUAUUGUUUUCGUAUCUUAGUGUAAAUCAUUUUAUUUGAAAAACUUAUGACAGUUUUGAAGACCUCAACCUGGAUUUUGUGAAAGGGUGACAAUCAGGUAACGUUCCCAGCUGUCAAAAGUAAAGCAAACAGGCAAUGGUUAAAGUGACGUCAGACACAUAA